UGAAGAAAGUGAGUGCAAAGUUGUUAACAACUUCACAAAGGAGAAAUAUCAAGAGGCAAAAUUAUCUAAAUGAAGUGACUCAAAGGAAUGAUUCAACUUUUUUUGCAACUAUAGGAGCAUUAAUUUGUGCUUCUUCCACCUCUUAUAAUACUAGGAAUAGCUAUAUUAACUGGUUAUGUACAACUUUUACCUUGAGACAUGAUAUAUAUUUAAUGAUAAUACUGAAUAGAAAUCUUUGCAUAUGAUAUGACUUAAUUUCCCUCAUUUUAGUGCCAAUUUCUGUCAAUUAUCUUUGCAUAUAUAUUUAGCCAAUGUGAGACUUCUAACACACCCCCUCACGUCCAGAACUGAACAAGCUGGAACGUGGGAUCAACAACAACGGGUGGCCCAAAUAUGGGAGGUCUCCACAACAAACAACAAAUGGAUCUAGGAUAGGCUCUGAUA
rnacentral:lncRNA from 1 species